CGUAACGCGUAUGCAACCUACCUUGAACAGGGGGAUAGCCCGGAGAAAUUCGGAUUAAUACCGCAUAAUAUAACGGAGUCAGCAUUGGCUUGUUAUUAAAGAUUUAUUGGUUCAAGAUGGGCAUGCGUGCCAUUAGCUUGUUGGUGAGGUAACGGCUCACCAAGGCAACGAUGGCUAGGGGAUCUGAGAGGAUGACCCCCCACACUGGUACUGAGACACGGACCAGG
rnacentral:rRNA from 1 species